GUUGACUCUCAGUCGACCCUAAUCCCAGCACUCCCCCGUGAAUGGCUGUAAUAACACGAGCUGUCUGUUACUCAAACCCUGACUGAGGAGGAAAAAGCACUGAUUAUCCAAAUACAGUCAUUAAAGGGGAAAUGUGUUUUUAGGACUGUCAGAGUGAUUAAUGAGGGCUGGCCGUCUUUGCAAAUGCACUUGUUUAGUCUAACUGGCAGCUUCUAUUUUCCUAUUGAUUUAUUGCAGCAGUUGCCUGGGCCUCGGUGUGUGUGGAGUCAGGGCACUUCACAACUGCGUGCUGUUUAAACAGGAAGAGCGACACCAUUUUGCCAGGGGAGGAGGGAGUAGGCUCCAGCCACCCGCUUUAGCUCAGCACUUCUGAGCCCAGGCCAACAAAGAAGACGUUAAAAGAAAUGCCUUCUCUUCAGCGAGGUCUCUGAGAUCCCUCGUCAUUAGUAAAAUCCAGGUCCAGAGGCUUUGGACCUAGCAAUCAGCCAUUAUGAGACCUGGACCACCUAAACCUUGCAUCUGUAUGAACAUCAAGGAAUUCCAUUUCGGAGGUCACGUUGCAAAGGACUGUCAUCUCCAAAACAGGUCAAUGAUUGAUCCCCAGAGGCUGGGCCAGUGAGAAAAGCGAAUGGGGACCUGCCCCGAGGCCUGGAGGCCUGGACGCUGUGUCUUGUGAUGGAUUGGAAGCCAGCAGGAGGCACCGGGACCAAAUCCAUCAAGACUUAAACCCUCACUGGGAGCGCCAAUAAAAUUCUGGAUGAUUUCUCCAAUGAA